rnacentral:rRNA from 1 species
GGUGAACGCUGGCGGCGUGCCUAAUACAUGCAAGUCGAGCGAACAGACGAUGAGCUUGCUCCUUUGCCGUUAGCGGCUGACGGGUGAGUAACACGUGGAUAACCUACUUAUAUUACUGGGAUAAUUUCGUGAAACCGGAGCUAAUACCGGAUAAUAUAUUGAACCGCAUGGUUCAAUAGUGAUACAGGGUUUUGCUGUUUCUUAUAGCUGGAUCCGCGCCGCAUUAGUUAGUUGGUAAGGUAACGGCUUACCAAGGCGACGAUGCGUAGCCGACCUGAGAGGGUGAUCGGCCACACUGGAACUGAGACACGGUCCCGACUCCUAAGGGAAGCAGCAGUAGGGAAUCUUCCGCAAUGGGCGAAAACCUGGCGGAGCAACGCCGCGUGAGUGAUGAAGGUCUUCGGAUCGUAAAACUCUGUUAUUAGGGAAAAAAAAAUGUGUAAGUAACUAUGCACGGUUCGACGGUAACUAAAAAGAAAGGCACGGCUAACUACGUG